rnacentral:rRNA from 1 species
AAUCAACGCUGGCGGCGUGCCUCAGACAUGCAAGUCGAACGCGAAAUUUCCCUUCGGGAGAAAGUAGAGUGGCGCACGGGUGAGUAACACGUAGGUAAUUUGCCUUUGGGUGGGGAAUAACUCAGGGAAACUUGAGCUAAUACCGCAUAAUGCAGCGGCUCGACAUCGAGACAGUUGUUAAAGCGGGGGAUUGGAGCAAUCCGACCUCGCGCCUAAAGAGAAGCCUGCGGCAGAUUAGCUAGUUGGUAAGGUAAUGGCUUACCAAGGCGACGAUCUGUAACCGGCCUGAGAGGGCGGUCGGUCACACUGACACUGACAUAC